UUCACUGUGGAUUUUUUUGUUUUGUUUGUGUUUUCAUCUUGCCUUAAACAAUUGUCCUCUCCCUCAUUCUCUUUAGGAACUAAUUUUAUGAGUAGCACAUUUCUUAUACUAAUUUGAACUUGAAAAAAACCCACGGUCAGCAGGGCAAGACGUAUAUGCAGUAUGCAUUCUGAAAAACUGUUAUAAUUUUCAAUAUGGGGAACAUUUUAUGUAAACUAUCAAAUGUGUAGUCUGGGAUCAUACCACUCUGAAUGUGCCUUGAUCUCAUUUAAACUACAAAAUGUUUACCUUAUAUAAUUAUGAUUUUGAAUCUACAUUGAACUUCUCAAAUGAAGGAGAUUGUUUAUACCUAUUUAUAGUACACUUUAUGGUAAUAAUUUUAUCAUUUCCAACAGAGAAAUGGCAGAUGAUAUCACACACAUUCCUUUGGAAUUAUGGGCACUUUACAUGAAGAGUCAAGAGACAAUUUUAAAUCUCAGUGUUCUAGUAUUCCACAGAGUUGAUUUCUCUCUACUUAGUUUGAGACUGUUGUUUUAUAGAGAAUAUUAAAACUCUUACACUGAAAAUAAUGUGGAUUGAAAUUUAAUAAUUGCUUUUUGGCUACUCUCCCUCUUUUCUCAAUGUAAAAGUAAGCUUUUGCUAUAAACGAAGCAACAAGAAAGAAACUUUUGAAGUUACCACCAUAAGAAGCAACCAUGCCUAUAGAAGGAGGAAAAACAGAUAUGGAGAGGAUUGGCCUCUUCAGUGAGAUGGAAUAUAUUACUGUCGGUGAUAAAUAUGUGUCACCAUUUAAUCGUAAGUGUAUUGGAUACUCUUUAUGGGCAAAUUAGUG
rnacentral:lncRNA from 1 species